rnacentral:tRNA from 1 species
CACUAAGAAGCUACGCACAGCACUAGCCUUUUAAGCUAGAGAGGAAGGGUUUUCUUCCUUGGUGA